rnacentral:rRNA from 1 species
GAUCCUGGCUCAGGAUGAACGCUGGCGGCGUGCCUAACACAUGCAAGUCGAACGAAGCACCUUACCGGAUUCUUCGGAUGAAAGUUUGGUGACUGAGUGGCGGACGGGUGAGUAACGCGUGGGUAACCUGCCCUGUACAGGGGGAUAACAGCUGGAAACGGCUGCUAAUACCGCAUAAGCGCACGAGGAGACAUCUCCUUGUGUGAAAAACUCCGGUGGUACAGGAUGGGCCCGCGUCUGAUUAG